CCUACGGGAGGCAGCAGUGAGGAAUAUUGGUCAAUGGACGAGAGUCUGAACCAGCCAAGUAGCGUGAAGGAUGACUGCCCUAUGGGUUGUAAACUUCUUUUAUAUGGGAAUAAAAUGUUCCACGUGUGGGAUUUUGUAUGUACCAUAUGAAUAAGGAUCGGCUAACUCCGUGCCAGCAGCCGCGGUAAUACGGAGGAUCCGAGCGUUAUCCGGAUUUAUUGGGUUUAAAGGGAGCGUAGGUGGAUUGUUAAGUCAGUUGUGAAAGUUUGCAGCUCAACCGUAAAAUUGCAGUUGAAACUGGCAGUCUUGAGUACAGUAGAGGUGGGCGGAAUUCGUGGUGUAGCGGUGAAAUGCUUAGAUAUCACGAAGAACUCCGAUGGCGAAGGCAGUUCACUGGACUGCAACUGACACUGAGGCUCGAAAGUGUGGGUAUCAAACAGGAUUAGAUACCCCAGUAGUC
rnacentral:rRNA from 1 species